UGCAGAAUCCCGUGAACCAUCGAGUCUUUGAACGCAAGUUGCGCCCGAAGCCACUAGGUUGAGGGCACGCCUGCCUGGGUGUC
rnacentral:rRNA from 1 species